CCAUGGAUAGCUCAGUUGGUUAGAGCAUGGUGCUGAUAACACCAAGGUCGCAGGUUCGAGAGCUGCGUAUUCCUGCAUUGCAGGGG
rnacentral:tRNA from 1 species